UACGUAGGGCGCAAGCGUUGUCCGGAAUUAUUGGGCGUAAAGAGCUCGUAGGCGGCCUGUUGCGUCCGCUGUGAAAACCCGGGGCUUAACCCCGGGCUUGCAGUGGAUACGGGCAGGCUGGAGGCAGGCAGGGGAGAACGGAAUUCCCGGUGUAGCGGUGAGAUGCGCAGAUAUCGGGAGGAACACCGGUGGCGAAGGCGGUUCUCUGGGCCUGUACUGACGCUGAGGAGCGAAAGCGUGGGGAGCGAACAGG
rnacentral:rRNA from 1 species